AACGCACAUUGCACCCGGUGGUAUUCCGCCGGGUAUGCCUGUUCGAGCGUCAUUAUAACCACUCAAGCCUGUCUUGGUGUUGGGGAUUGCGAAUCUUGCAGCCCUAGAGUCCAGUAGCGUCACCUGUAGGUCCUAAGCGUAGUAAUUUCUCCUCGCUACAGAGCCUGCCGGUGGAUAGUGUCAAUCCAGUUAAGUCUGCGUGUCCUGCUAUUAAACCCCCAAAUUUUAAAGGUUGACCUCGGAUCAAGUAGGGAUACCCGCUGAACUUAA
rnacentral:misc_RNA from 1 species